GGGCGUGAACCGCUUAGAAGAAAACGGACGGAGCCGUCAGGGGCCCUUGGGAAUCAGUCUAGCGACUCGUGAAACUGCCGCGGUACCAGAACGCAAGUCUGGCCGUAGUAUGUUAGUAGCGAUCGUUUGAUGCAUUUUCUAAGGGUUUGCACUGUAACCGAUACUGGAGGCCGGUGAAUUGAUUGGUUUGAGGUCGAGACCCGCAAGGGUUUCGUUUCCAGGCCUUUUGAAUGCAUCGCCGGACCGAAUUAUGUAUCGAAAGCCUAGUAAGAUUACAUCGGCCGCAAGGUUCACUCUGUAGUGGAUAGUCGAUAGUUCUGUUAGUAGUUGCUUGCAAUUGCUAGCGAAUUUCGUCGGCUCAGAAGCUACUAGUGACAUUUCGAUGUAUUGGCGUUGACAGUGUCAGUGUCGGCCACCCAUCCGACCCGUCUUGAAACACGGACCAAGGAGUCUAACAUAUGCGCGAGUCAAUGAGUGGAAAACUCAAAGGCGCAAUGAAAGUAAACGCUGUCUCUGGCAGCCAAGGUACGAUCAUUGGGUUAAUAGCCUGGUGCGCAGUACCGUCCCAUCUCGACUGCUCGUCAGUGGGGUGGAGAUAGAGUGCAUACGUUGGGACCCGAAAGAUGGUGAACUAUGCCUGAGCAGAGCGAAGCCAGAGGAAACUCUGGUGGAGGUUCGUAGCGGUUCUGACGUGCAAAUCGAUCGUCAGACUUGGGUAUAGGGGCGAAAGACUAAUCGAACC
rnacentral:rRNA from 1 species